GUAACAAGGUCUCCGUUGGUGAACCAGCGGAGGGAUCAUUACCGAGUUUUCAACUCCCUAACCCUUCUGUGAACCUACCUAUCGUUGCUUCGGCGGACUCGCCCCAGCCCGGACGCGGACUGGACCAGCGGCCCGCCGGGGACCUCAAACUCUUGUAUUCCAGCAUCUUCUGAAUACGCCGCAAGGCAAAACAAAUGAAUCAAAACUUUCAACAACGGAUCUCUUGGCUCUGGCAUCGAUGAAGAACGCAGCGAAACGCGAUAAGUAAUGUGAAUUGCAGAAUCCAGUGAAUCAUCGAAUCUUUGAACGCACAUUGCGCCCGCCAGCAUUCUGGCGGGCAUGCCUGUUCGAGCGUCAUUUCAACCCUCGACCUCCCCUUGGGGAGGUCGGCGUUGGGGACCGGCAGCACACCGCCGGCCCUGAAAUGGAGUGGCGGCCCGUCCGCGGCGACCUCUGCGCAGUAAUACAGCUCGCACCGGAACCCCGACGCGGCCACGCCGUAAAACACCCAACUUCUGAACGUUGACCUCGAAUCAGGUAGGACUACCCGCUGAACUUAAGCAUAUCA
rnacentral:rRNA from 1 species